GUAGGUUUCUCUCCUGUUAGUGAUAAGUUCAAAUGCUAAAUGCACAUUAAAAUGUCAGUCUUUACUUGUUGAAUGUGGACAGAAAUAUAUAUAUGAAACCAAGAGGGCUGCAUUAACCUCAAUAUGCAUACAUUAUAAGGGUGCUGCUAAGGCCAAUUAUAACAACAUAUAAGAUCCAGCGCACUCACUCAUUCACUAAAUAGCAAUUUAAAAUCUCACAGAAAGUAAUAUCUUUCUGUUUUUUUUUGUUUUUUUUAAACACCUAGCCUUGGUAAAGAUAAUUGAGGUUUAGUUACAGUAUAUGAUCAUUGCAUAAGCCUGCUACAACAUCAAUGUACCCCAUUCUUGGCAGGUCCAAGCCUAAUGCUUGCUCUUAUGGGAUUAAUCCACUUACUUGGGAAAUGCUUCCUCCUGAGGCUCCCUGCAGGUCAAGGCUAAAUAGGGCCCUUGAAUAAGGCACUGUGACAGGGGGGUGCAAAGCCACAGGAGUGAGCCUGGACCCCCAAAUAUAUAGACAAAAUCAAGCGAAAUGACUCACUUGAACAUGCAUACAUUAUAAGGGUUCUGCUGGGGUCAAUUAUAACAACAUAUAAGAUUGUACCUGCCUCGUUUCACUCAUUCACUAAACAGCAGUUUCAAAAUAGUAAU